CCCAAAUUGGAGAGACUAGGAGAGAAAAUUUUCCUUCCCCUCCCCUCACCUCCCCCUGUUAAAUGACUCGGGAACAUAGUGUAAAUCGAAGAAGAAAAAGGGCAUCAGUUCGUUUCCAUAUUAGAGUUCGUUUCCAGAUUAGAUCUGAAGGUACUCCGACUGAGCGGAAAUGUCGAUCGGGAUGAGUGGCGUUUCAUAAUAAAUUUCAUUUACAGUUCUCACAUAUGGCUUUCAGAAUUGUUGAAGUAAUGUCUUGAAUUUUGAGGAAAGAAUGGCCUCAAAAGGUCCAAGGUCUAAACCUGAUCACAAGUCAAGGGCCAAACGGAAAAAGGUCAAUCCGGCAUUGAAUUUUGACAGCAUGUACAAGCAUUCUCAGUCUAAAAACUACCAAACAUUUAAUGUAAAGAUCAGACCGAUGUCCAUGUUGGCGCUGAACCUAAUGUUGGUAUGAAGAAACAAUUGUUAUUUUGUUAACAGUUUACCACUUAAUAUUUGUUGGGGACCAUUUGUUUA